rnacentral:misc_RNA from 1 species
GAAAUGCGAUACUUGGUGUGAAUUGCAGAAUCCCGCGAGCACCCGCCUCGUGGUUGGUUGAAAUCUGGGUUCAUGGCCGACUUCGCCGUGAUAAAAUGGUGGAUGAGCCACGCUCGAGACCAAUCACGUGCGAGCCGGUCAGUUCUGGACCCAUCGACGACCCUUUGCGUGCACGCACGCUCCCAACGAGACCUCAGGUCAGGCGGGGCUACCCGCUGAGUUUAA